GGAGGAUUGCUUGAGACCAGGAGUUCAAGACCAGUCUGGGCAACAUGGCAAGACCCCGUGUCUACAAAAAAAAUUUUUUAAUUAACUGGAUGCAAUGAUGCGCACCUGUACUCUUAGUUACUGGGGAGACUGAGGUGGGAGGAUCCCUUGAGUCCAGGAUUUCAAGGCUGCAGUGGCUGAUAAUUGUACCACUGAACUCCAGCCUGAGUGACAGAGCAAGACUCUGUUUCAAAAACAAACAAACAACAACAACAACAACAAAAACAGAAGAGCUCUUCUAACAGAGAUACCUGUGCCUUAUUUCUCCUCCAAAGAGCCUCUUAUAAAUCUGUACCCCACCCUCCAGCCUCCAGACUUGAGCCUGAUUACAAAUUAGUUUUCAUUCUUGGGAGAUAGUAAUUGGGUUCUCUCUAUGCAAGUAUUUCUGAAUAAUCAAGUGACCAUUUCUUAUUGUAAUCUUUUUUUUUUUCUUUUUGAGACAGUCUUGUUCUGUCAUGCAGUGGUGUGAUCUUGGUUCACUGCAACCUCCACGUCCCUGGUUCAAGUGAUUCUCGUGCCUCAUCCUCCCGAGUAGCUGGUAUUACAGGCGUGCACCACCAUGCCUGGCUAAUUUUUUAUACUUUUAGUAGAGAUGGGGUUUUGCCAUGUUGGCCAAGUUGGUUUUGAACUCCCCUGGCCUCAAGCGAU
rnacentral:lncRNA from 1 species